CCUACGGGAGGCAGCAGUAGGGAAUAUUGCUCAAUGGGGGAAACCCUGAAGCAGCAACGCCGCGUGGAGGAUGAAGGUUUUCGGAUUGUAAACUCCUUUUGUUAGAGAAGAUAAUGACGGUAUCUAACGAAUAAGCACCGGCUAACUCCGUGCCAGCAGCCGCGGUACUACGGAGGGUGCAAGCGUUACUCGGAAUCACUGGGCGUAAAGAGCGCGUAGGCGGGAUAGCAAGUCAGAUGUGAAAUCCUAUGGCUUAACCAUAGAACUGCAUUUGAAACUGUUAUUCUAGAGUGUGGGAGAGGUAGGUGGAAUUCUUGGUGUAGGGGUAAAAUCCGUAGAGAUCAAGAGGAAUACUCAUUGCGAAGGCGACCUGCUAGAACAUAACUGACGCUGAUGCGCGAAAGCGUGGGGAGCAAACAGGAUUAGAUACCCCAGUAGUC
rnacentral:rRNA from 1 species